AUGGAGAUUCCCCUUGGUCUAAUUCCACGCCUUAUGACGAAAGGAGAGUCGGCGUGGCGUAAAGUGAAGAUUGAGGGAAAUAGAGAUAAAUUACCUUCUGGGGUAUUCCGAAGGUGUAACCUAGGCAACGAAAGAAAAAGGGGCCCGAGACUUCAACUAGAGGAGCGACCAGUUGGUUCACCAAACCCCGACCCAGCGUCACGCGUUCUCCAGGUCCGAAGGGAUCCAGUGCCCAACUACCGACUCCUUCCGGAAUUGCGUUAUCGGAGCCGAGCCAGGAAUGGCCGUUAG